rnacentral:rRNA from 1 species
GGCUCCUUGCUAAUAGAUAAAUAAGGAGUCGGACCUGCCCAGUGAAUUUUUUCAACGGCCGCGGUACUCUGACCGUGCAAAGGUAGCAUAAUCAUUUGCCUUAUAAUUGAAGGCUGGUAUGAAUGGUUUGACAAGAAUGUAGCUGUCUCUUUAUAAUUUAAUAGAACUUUAUUUUGGGGUGAAGAAGCUCCAAUUAAAUUAAAAGACAAGAAGACCCUAUCGAGCUUUAAAAAAAUUAAUGGAAUAUAUAGUAUUAAUACGAAGAUUAAAAAAUCAGCUAUUAAAGAUUUUGGUUGGGGCGACUAAGGAACAAAAAUAGCUUCCUUUAUACAUAUUAGAACAUACAGGUAUUGAUCCAAAAUUUUUGAUUAAAGAAAUUAGUUACCGUAGGGAUAACAGCAUUAUCCUCUUUGAGAGUUCUUAUCGAAAAGGGGGUUUGUGACCUCGAUGUUGGACCAGAAUAUCCUAAAGAUGUAGAAGUCUUUAAGGGUUGGUCUGUUCGACCAUUAAAAUUCU